GAUGAACGCUGGCGGCGUGCUUAACACAUGCAAGUCGAACGGACGGAGGGAGCUUGCUCCCAAAGUUAGUGGCGGACGGGUGAGUAACGCGUGGGUAACCUUCCCUAUGCAGGGGGAUAACAUUCGGAAACGGAUGCUAAUACCGCAUAACCUAGUUGGUUCGCAUGAACCGACUAGCAAAGAUUUUAUCGGCAUAGGAUGGACCCGCGUUAGAUUAGCUAGUUGGUGAGAUAAAAGCUCACCAAGGCGACGAUCUAUAGCCGGCCUGAGAGGGUGAACGGCCACACUGGGACUGAGACACGGCCCAGACUCCUACGGGAGGCAGCAGUGGGGAAUAUUGCACAAUGGGCGCAAGCCUGAUGCAGCGACGCCGCGUGAAGGAUGAA
rnacentral:rRNA from 1 species